GGCGGCGCCCGGAGGCGAGGCGGCCACGGGCCUUCCACCGAGUGGGCGGCCGGCUAGAACGUCGUCCUUCCGCGUGAGCGGCUGGCUAGAACGUCCUUUCCCUGCGCCAGGCCGCCUUGGCCCUCGGAGGACCACGCCGACCCCGGGAAUGCGAGCUUGCUGGGGAGUCUUCUCCUGGAAGCGAUCUUUCUUUCCUCAACUCCCUUAAAUAACUGGAAGCUUCUUCGAGGAUGGAUGCGGGAGAAGCCGUACAUCUGGAUUGUUACUAUCUGCAGAGGCUGAUUCACCGCUUAGGAGGUGUGCCCCAAUUCCCAAAGGGAAAAGAGGAUUGAACAGCUUCUGUAUUUGUGUUCUUAGCCACUAGAUGGCGCUACUUGCCCUUUUGCAAGCUAUCUGCACAUUUGUUGUCUUGUGGAAAAAUGAAAAUAUGUCAUCCUGCAAGAAAAGCAAGAUGUUGGGCUCAAGGAAGGAAAUACUGUCUUCAGAGAGGCCAAGAAAAGAAAAAAGAAGAGGUCGCUAGUCUUAGAUUUGAUAGGUACACGCACAUACAUGUAUGCACAGCCAUAAUUUAAUUUCCCUCAUCAGCUAUGAGCUUGCAAUCUUCUCUUCUUAAUUUUUUUUGUGAUAGCCCUUUUUUAUUAGUGUAUGUUAAUAUUACAUGAAGAUGGGGUUUAUUUGAGGAAGUUAGUUAAAGUGUUUAAUGUAUCUUAAUCAAUUUCAAUCCCAUUACCUCCCUUUCCCAUUUUCCCCCUCCUCCUUAAGCUCUCCCCCAUCUUCAGAAGUCUACCUCCUGGCUUCCUCUCCUCAUUUUCAUUAUUUAUUAAUUGAUGUAUUUUUAGGUUUUGUAUACAAGAGAAAUCAUGUGAUACUUAACUUUCUGAUUCUGGCUAAUUUCACUGAAUGUAAUGGUUUCUAGUUCCAUCCAUUUUUACUGCAAAUGGGAUGAUUUCAGUAUUUUUCAUGACUAAGUAAUAUUCUGUUGUGUGUAUAUACUACAUUUUCUUUAUCCAUUCAUUUGUUUACGGGGAUCAGGCUAUUUCCACAUCUUAGCUAUUGUGAAUUGCGCUACUGUAAACAUGGUCGUGGAUGUAUCAAUAGUAUGCAACCUUCAUUCUUUCAAGAGUAUGUCCAAGAAGGGCAGGGGAUUUAGCUCAGUGGUUCUGCCGUCUGCCUCGCAAGUGCAAGGUCCUCAAUUCGAUCCCCAGUACCAAAAAAACCCCCAAAAAACAAAAAAAGAGUAUGUCCAAGAGUGGAAUCGGGCCGGGAAUUUAGCUCAGUGGUUUCGCCGCCUGCCGGGCAAGCACAAGGACCGGAGCUCAAUCCCCGGUACCAAAAAAAAAAAAAAAUGGAAUGACUGGGUCAAAUGGUAUUUCUCCAUUUUGUCUUCUAAGAAAUCUGCAUACUGAUUUCCGUAGCGGUGUACCAAUUCCAACAAUGUAAGAAGGAACCCCUAUACCCCUACAUCCUCAUCAGCAUUUAUUGUUUUUGUUUCCUUGAUGAUAGCUAUUCUGACUCAAGUAAGAGUAGAAUCUCAAUGUAGUUUUAAUUUGCAUUUCUGUAAUGGCUAGAGAUGUUGAACAUGUUUUUGUGUACUUUUUUGCCACUGUAAUUUCUUUUGAGAAGUAUCUAUUCAGUUCAUUAGCCUACUUUUUAUUGGAUUCAUUGUUUUGUGGGGAUUAACUUCUUUAAGUUCUUUGUAUAUUCUAGAUAUUAACCUUCUGUCAAAAGAGUAGCGGGCAAAUGUUUUUUCCCAUUCAGUAGGUUGUCUCUUCACUCAGUUGUUUUCUUUACUGUGCAGAAAUUUUUAAUUUGAUGUAAUUCCAUUUGUUGAUUCUUGAAAUUAUUUCCUAUGCUUUUGAGGUCCUGUUCAAAAAGUCUUUGCCUGUGCCUAUGACUUCAGUGACUUCAAGUGUUUCACCUGUGUUAUUUUCCAGCAGUUUCAAUGCUUCUGGUUUUAUAUCCAGGUCUUUGAUCUGUUUUGAUUUUAUUUUCAUACAGGAUGAGAUAUGGAUCUAGUUUCACUUCUCUGCGUGUGGCUCUCCAGUCUUCACAGCACUGUUUGUAAAAGAACCUGUCUUUUUUCCAACAUAUAUUUUUUGGCCCCUUUGUUAAAAAUCAGAUGACUGUUAGCACUUGGAUUGUUUCUGUGUCUUCUAUUCUAUUGGUCUACAUUUCUACACUUGAUCUUAGCCAAAAGGCCAAGAAGUGAUCCAUUGGUCUACAUUUCUUUUUUCGUGUCAGUACCGUGUUGUUUUUGUUAUUAUGGCUUUAUAGUACAGCUCAAAGUCCAGUAUAGUACAGCCUCCAGCACUGGUCUGUUGUGCUCAGGGUUGCCUUGGCUAUUCUGGUUUUUUUCUAAUUCAGAUGAAAUUCAAUGUUGAUUUUUCUAGUUCUUUAAAGAAUGUUGUUGCAUAGAGGAUUGCGAAGAAUUUGUAGAUUGCUUUUGGUAAUAUAACCAUUUUCACAAUAUUAAUUCUGCCAAUCCAAGAACAAGGGAUAUCUUCCCAUUUUCUAAAAUCUUCUUCAGUUUGUUACUUCAGAGUUAUGUAAUCUUCUUUUAAGAAAUCUUCACCUCCUUUGUUAGGUUGAUUCCUAUGUAUUUAAUUUUUUAAACUAUUCUGAAUGAAACUGUCUUCUUGAUUUCAUUCCUGGUGAGUUCAUUAUUGAUGUACAGGAAUGCAAUUGAUUUUUAUGUAUUGACUUUAUGUCCUGGAACCUGCAAUGUUGAUAGAUACUGAUUAAGAAAAUUUUUCUUUAACUACUAUGAGAUCAAAUGUGUGAUGGCUUCAUCCAACCUUCUCUUUGGUUACUUCUCAAAACUGUUUUAGUUUUGAGAACAAUCACAUGUACAAUUUAUAAUUAUCUCCUCUCAAAAUAUCUGCUGUAAGUGCACAUCUCUUUUGCACAAUGAGCAGGGAGAUUCCCUUCUUUUGUCCCAUUACCUCCCCUCCAUGGUCCGAAGGCAAGUUCCUCUUUCUGUUUCCAGCUUGUUGCUCCUGAUCCAAGAGGUAUCAGUAAAUGGCAAUUUUCAUAAUUAUGUUCCUCUUUUCUUUCUUUCUUUCUCUUUCUUUCUUUCUUUCUUUCUUUCCCUCUUUGGUUUGGUUUUGAUUUUUUAAGACAGGGUUUCCACCAUGUAGUCCAGGCUGGCCUCAAACUCAUGAUCCUCUUGCUUUAGCUUCCCAAGUGCUAGGAUCACAGGCGUGCACCACCAUACCCAGCUACGAUUCUGUUCUUAAUGGAACCUAAGAUCUUGAACAGUAAUGAAAAUGCACAUAAAAUGUACUGUGAGGCUCCCAAACAGCAAUGUUGAAGAAAAACAUAAAUGGAUGAUCAUAAUGUAAUUCUAUUACUUUAUGUGUUUGUGAGUGAACAGCAGGUACCUAGGAAGGUGAUUAGUUAGAGUUAGCAUAGUCUUUGAAGGACAUUACCUGAAGCCAGAGAAAAACUAGGCCUAAAUCUCAGUCCAUUUCUGACCCUGCUACUUACUACUGUGUGAUCGUGUGCUCUUACCAAGUUAAUUGAUUUCUCCAAGUCUCAGUUCCUUCUUCUGAAAAAUAAGUGUGGCCACAUUGGGGGAUUGGAAUAAGAAGUAGCUUAUUAAUGUGACUUGUUAGUGGGAGAAAGAAAUUCCAAGCUACACCACUGUGCCAAAGGCAGUUCAGAACGAUUGCAGAGGAGUAGAAGUGGCCCGGAGAGGUAACUUCAAAUAACUCAAUGAAGAAGCUGGUGAAGGAGAUGAAUCACUGCGUACAACCUGUCCAAAGACUCAACAACUGUGAAAACCAGGGUGAGCAGAUCUUAACCAUCUAGCUUGCCAUGGCCACAUCUGCAAGUCCACUUACUAAUGCAGAGGCCUGUGUUUGUAAGAUGUGUCAUCCUUCCCGGGAAGGGCACCUGUUCUCAAGAUUCUGAGGAAAUAGCUUCAGCGGCACAGAACCCUGGGACCAGAGGUGACUGACCAGAGUGCAAUCAGACCCCUCUCCCUGCCUAAUUUCCAUCCCCCCACUCCACCCCACCCCCCAAUAUUUGCAAACUCAUCACACCGUGCUGUGCCUUUCUGAGAACUGCUGGAGCAGGAACCCGCUGGUGACAUGGACGUCGUGCUCUCAGUUCCUUUUUUGGCUACAGGAGAAACUGGUAAACAGGGAGUCAGAUGAGUGGAGCUAGGGAGACCAUGGAUGUUGCCCAUUCCGUAUCUGGUUUGCUGGGUUGCCUUUUGCACAACCCUUCUCCUUCCAUGCUUUGUCACGUAAACAAUAUGCAGGGAAUAGCCACAGGCCACUUUCCCACUGUCUCUCGGACUCCAGCGUGUUGUAGUGGAAAGAGCUGUGGUCGUACAUGCACAAGUCCUGGACCUCAGUUGUGGUUCUAUUGUGUGUUGGUUGAAUGACCAUGGCCAAGCCUAACCCUAACCCUCAGGCCUUCAGCGUCCCCAUCCAAUAAUGUCUGUUCUCACAUUUCCUAAGGACACUAAACUAUGCAAAUUGGAAAUCCUUUAAACUAUGGGUCAAUCUGCAGAUUAUUUCCAAAUCCUUCAAAACGAUCUAUUUCUCGCUUCUUCCUCAUAUUCACUACCUUGCCUCUUCCAAGAAGUUUUUCUUUCUCGUUCCUUCUGACUCACUUCCCACUAAUAAUUUACUUGCCCUGAUCCCUAGUAAUGAGAAUUAAAAAUUAGAGAUGAGUCAUUAACAAACAUUCAAGAUGCAGAAUUUGAAAUUUGUCCAACAAAGAAGGAAAAACAAACCCCUAAAUUUGGAAGUUGAAUAGAAGCUUUUGGGCCAGGGAUUUAGCUCACUGGCGCCUCACCUGCCUGUCAAGCACAAGGUCCUGCGUUCAAUCCCUGGUAUCACCAAAAAAAAAAAAAAAAAUAGAACCCCUUUACCCAAUCGCAAAGCAAUGAAUCUUUUAAAAAAUUAUUUAAAGGAAACCCCCUUUGAUUUUAUGUCAGUUUUUUAGUUCUUGCUCAGUGUGCUGAAGAUACAGCACAGACUAAGAGGACAUCCGCCUCAGGUUUCCACAGUGUGCACAGGGGUACUCUGAACCCAAAACUGACAGUCAAAACAAAGUACCAAGCUGGCCAUGGUGGCACACACCUAUAAUCCCAGCACUGUGGGAAGCUGAGGCAGGAAGAUCACACGUUUGAGCCCAUCUUGGUACAAUUCAGCAGCAAAACAAGACCCUGUCUCAAAAUAAAAAAUUAAAAGGGCUAGGGCCAUAGCUCAGCUGUGAAGGCCAUGGACCUGGGCUCAAUUCCCAGUAUAGUAUUUUUAUAAAAGUAUUUUGGGGACCCUGCUGAAGAAAGAAUUUAUUUUGGCUGGAAGAAUCAGGGAAAUGUUUUCAGAGUAGGUGGCAUUUGCAUUGGAUCUUCCCCUUUGUUAAAAAUAAAAGAGGGAUAAGGUAUGGAAAUAAGAAGAUAGAGAGCAAUAGGUCAAAGGUGCAAAGAUGUGAGGUGAGGUCUAAAACAUUCGAGAUUGUUACCCUAAAUGUCACUGAUGUGUCGAGGAAAGAAGGAGGAUUUCUUCUGAGAUUUCACAGGCUGUCCUGGCCCACUCGUUUAGUCACACUCCCACCACAGCCCGCACGAUGGCCACUCAGAGUUGUAGGCCCUGCCAAGGGAAGAGGCUCCGACUGCCCCUCUCUGGCUUUGUGUCUCCACAGCCCUUCCACAGGGGAUCGCAGAAUGCCUCGCUGGGGCCACAAAGGUACUAAAUGCUUAGCCUUGCCUGUUUCUGUACCUGUCGGACUGCGUCCAGUGAAAACGGUGCUCUGGAGCUGAUGACUGCAGGGCUGGCCUGUUAAUGUUCAUGAAAAACAGCAGUGUCCACUAGGUGCCAGCACGAGCUUACUCGUCUUGCCCAGAUAGAACGGUCUUGCCCAAAGAGCCUAGUUUUUGUUUGUUUGUUUGUUUUAUGAGACAGGGUCUUGCUAUGUGGUUCAGACUGGCCUUGAGUGCACAGCAGCCCUCCUGCCUCAGCCUUCUGAGUGCUGGGGUUACAGACCUUGCCACCCACAGUUUCCAAAUAGCCUGUUUUUUGACAGGGUGACUAGCCCAUCAAAGUAGGGGAAUGUUCACACACUGUUCACUGCCCUAAGCUUUUGGACAGCUCUCCUUGAAGGGAUGGGAGAGAAUUACAAGCUGGAUAUUAGAACAAUGAAGCAGGCUGGUAAUUUGUUAAACAAUUGUAUCCAAAGAAAGUGACAUGAAUCAGUGACAAUCAGUUUCACUCCCUGCCUCACUGUGUAGUACCCUGAACUGCGCUGGGACCCUGCAGAGUCCCCACCAGCAGGGAGGCCCUCACUGGCUGCAGCUGCUCAACCUUGGACUUUCCCACCUCCUGGGUAGCUGGAUUACACGUAUGCACCACUGCAUCCACUCUUUUAUCUGUUAUUCAACCUUUUUUUAAAAAAGUGAUUUGGAUUAGGGCAUAAAAAUAUGCUUACCUAACUUGCAUGUGUUAUAAUUCAGAGGGUCUGCACUGGGAUCUACUAUUGUCUUAUUAAAUUAACAAAAACAUAACUAAAAAGAGAUACAUACAAGGUUCUGCGUGUUGGUCCUCAAAAUGAACUCCCAAUUAGUUGGGGAACAAAGAGGUGUAUUUUAGAUGAAGGCAUCCACAUUUUCACAAGGGUUUCUAGGCAAUAAACUCAGGCUGGUCAAUAUUACCUGACUUCUAAGCCAGGUGUGGUGGCACACGCCUAUAAUCCCAGCACUCAGAAGGCUGAGGAAGGAGGAUCGCUGUGAGUUCGAGGCCAGCCUGAACUACAUAGCAAGACUCUGUCUCAAUCAAUCAAUCAAUCGAUCAGUAUAACGUGACUUCUGGGAAAGCAGCAAUCUCUUUAGACACAUGAUCUCCAUGUAAAAGAUCUGAGUUCUCGUUCUACACCAUAACUAACAAGUAUUAACUUCUCUGGAUCUCAAUGUCCGUUUCGCUAAAGUAUCAAGUUGGGCUGUAUCUCUAGGUCUUUUCCAACAGAAAAAUCCCAAGAUUUACCUCUUUAUUGUCUAUUCGGGUGGUGUCAACAUCUGCUCAUGACUGUCAGGUACCUUUCUGAGCUACAGAGCGUGGUAGGGCCUGAGACUUCCUUCCAGCCAGGUGCUGAAUGUCGCUUGCAUCUGACCAGCUCAUAAGCCCCAGCCCACCAAACAGCAGGUGAGGCUGUACUUCUGCAGCCUGAGUCACUUUUAGAAACCUAGCCGAGGCAGCUUUUGGUUUUUCUCUGGUGUUAACUGGCCUUAGCUUUACAGUUCUAGAGGCAGAGCCCUAAGCGUCCAUUUCUUGGACAGCACCAGACAUAGUGUAGUCAUGCUGCCCCACCAACAGCAGUGUGCUUAUCGUGGAAAUUUCCCAAAUCACAACAGCGGCUGUGUGACCAGAUGAGUUCUGAUCAAGGGAGAGGCGUUACCUCGCUUGGUGGACUGACAUCAGAAGACUUUGCUGACAACUCAGUCUGGAGUCCGUUUCUUCAUGCUUCACAGUCCCUCUGUAAACUAUCAAAGACUGUGUGACAAAAUCCUUUCUCCUUAAAACAGCAAGAAUGGAUUCUGUUCUCUGAUUCUUGAUCAAUAUAAUCUUACACUUAGGAAGAUCUUUCUUAAAAAAGGCUCCGAAGAGUGCACACCAAAUAAUUACACAGAGUUACAUCUAUUCCCACUGAUAGAGUAGGUGGAAGGAUAGGAACUGAAGAUAGAAUUGAACAUUUUUCUACAUAGUAUGACUUUUUCCAAAUAAACACUCUAUUUCUUAAUAAUUCUGUUUUAAAGAUCAAAUAAAGGGGGUUACUGGUAUGUUAAAGUCACGAUUCGUGGCCCAAGAACCAGCAACAUUGGCAUGAAUGGACACUUGUUAGAAAUGCAGAAUCUCUGGUCCCACCCCCAGACCUACCAAAUCACAACUGCUAUUUGCAGAAGAGUCCUGUGUGAUCCAUGUGUGAUUAAAGUUCACAAAGAUCCAUGAUUUUUCUGCUUCUAUCAGUAAUGGAGAAUCCUGUAAUGACCCUGGGACACAGGCAUAAUUUCAACUUAUAAAUUAGAAUGCCAGUCCCAAAUGUUAAUUAGGCCUUCUGUCUUUUUUUUUUUUUUUUGGUACUGGGGAUUGAACUUGGGUCAUUGCGCCUGCGCAGCAGGCGGUGAAACCACUGAGCUAAAUCCCCGACUAGACCUGUCUUUAUUCCAAGUUAAAUUUCUGACCUGGUAUCCAGGUAAGCUCCUGACCUAAGGGAGGAGCUUGACUAAGACUCUCUCUUUUAUCUCUUUCUCCCUCUCCCUCUCCUCCCUGUCUUCCCUUCCUGCUUUCCUCCUUUCUUUUCAUUAGCAUCUGUUUUCUUUUCAGCCUCACCUAAGCCAAGGUAGAAGAGAAGGGGAGAGGAGAUGAACAGAAAGUUCUUAUUUAGCUGACAGCUCUCUGAGUUUGGCAGGUGGCUAAUACAAACUUUCGCCCAUGUGCAUUUCUGUGGGCUUUUUGGAGAUGUUUAAUUUUUCCCCCUGGGAACUGCUUUCCUAUCAUGCUGUGCUCUAGGCAGAUGCAUCUGUUUUCCAGGUGCACAUUUGUAUCUCUUUCCUCAGACCCUAGGAAUCCAGACACUAACCUAGCUUUCUGGUGCCUUUGUCUACCCCUCCUGGUGGCCGUAUUCUACAGAAAGCAGAACAAGCCCAGGCUAGUCCUCUGUCUUUGGUGGACUUUCAUAUAGACACAUGUGAUUUAAGGAUAUCAUGGACUGCAAGCUGACCCCAGAGUAGCCCUUCCGGCCCACAACCAGAGCUCACUUUCCCAGAGCUUUCUGAGACCUAAGGCAGGCCCAGGUCUCCUCACUGCAGGGGACACAUUUCAGACCUCUCUGGGAAGCUCCUGUGCAUGUCCUUCAUUGGGCUUGAGAAGGAGAUAGUAAGCUCUUCUCACUUCCCCACUGUGAGGGCAAAUUUGUCAGUAAAUCUUGUUUCCUCUCCAUAUCUUGGCCCUGUAUUAUCUCUCUAAUGUGACCUCAGAGUCCAAAAGUCAAGGAACAGAUUCACAACCAUUUCCUUUAUGAAUUCUGCAUAUGAUGUUUUGGCUUUAGAAUUUCACAUCUAUUGUAUUUUGAAACAAUCAUUUUGACAUCCUGUCACAAGUAUAACUGCUUAAUUGUAAUAAAUAAAAAUAAAAUCUUG